GUUUAUUUCCUUGUAAAAUCCCUCUACCGCGGAAUUCACCCACACAGAUUAGGGAAAACCUCUCUUCCUCAUCGUCCAUGGCGCAAACUCAUCUCUCUCUCGUCCUUACCAGACGGAGAAUGUAUUUCUGAAACAGUUAGGUGUUUUUUUGAGGAAAUUAUCUAAGAGACAAUUUAUAAGGCCACAGGGUCAUUUGAUGAGGCCAAGAAGCUCAAACAUGGUAGACUUGAUACAGUUUAUAAGGGUGUUUUGGCAGAUGGGAGAGAGAUCAUCAUCAAAAGGUUGUUCUUCAGUAACAAACAUAGAGCUACAGAUUUUAAUAACGAGGUAAACAGUUUGUAGGUGGAGCACAAAAAUUUGAUAAGAUUAUUGACUUAUUAGGAUGCAGUUGCUCAAGACCGAAAAGUCUUUUUGUGAACUCAUCAUUCCCUUUAAGGUAUUUCUAAUCUUGUAAACUUGCUCGUCGACUGUUUUACUAUGUCAAGUUCACUUAGCAUGCAUUGUGUUAUUUUUUUCUAGCUCCUGCCGACUUAUUUCAUGAGCAGAAUGAGCUUCAUGUUUUGUCCUCUUCAUUUACUUGACAACUCCUUUUAGUAAGUUGUAAAUCGUGAUUUCUAUUCAUAGCUCAUUUGCAUAAGCUCUCUAAUUAACCUGAUUGUGUUGUGUUUAUUUAACUUAUAACUCAAAGAUUUUAAGUCCCCAAAAGUUAAAAAAAAUUGACAGUGAAUUUGUAGAACAGGCAUUUCAUUCAACUACUAACAUUGAAUUUUUCAAUAAUACAGAUAGUAUUGUAAGCGGAACUAUAUUCCUCUUGCAUAGAGUAUUUGAUUAUUAUGAGUGACAACCUUGAUGCUCUAUUCUCAAGUAGUCAUAUGGAGUUUCUUUGAAAUUUAUCUGGAAUCUUUUCAAAUUGAUCGAUGAAGUUGGAUUUCUCAUGGCAACGAAUUGGGAGCUAUUCAUCCAAUGGAUAAUCAACACAUUUCAGGGAAGAUCAAAAAUCAAUGAAGUUGGAUUUUCAAACUGUUCUUAUUGAAUUUUUGAGAGAGAUCAAAUUAUUCUUGAAAAGCAACCCAAAAGGUGGAGAUACUUGGUCAAAGAAGUGGUAUAUAUCUACAACGUGAGAGCCUGUUCAGGUGUUAGAGGAUUAGUGCAAAAAUGCAUCUUUUAAUUUGUUUCCUUAGUAAUCUGUUAGUUAUGUUUUCUUUGAGUUUCUAGUCACAAGCUAGCCAACUCUACUGGACUAUAGUUUUGUAAUAUUCUCUUGGAUGAUUAAUAAAAAAAUUGGUUACC